UUCAUUAACAUACAACAAUGUUUAAGUACUAUAGUUUUAUUCAAAAUGACACGGAGAUGGAUUAGACUUUUAGUUGCAGCGUUAAUAUUCGGAACAGCGCUUUUGAUUGGGGUAAUCUCAAUUGCUUCAAACAGAGAUGUUGAAAAUAAAGCGUUUACUAAAGAGUCCUACCUGGAUAUGAAACAUGCUUUACUUCAAAUGAAAAAUGAGAAUCUCGAGCUUAAAGUCCAAAUUGAUAAACAAAAGGAGCAGUUUUCACCAGAAAUUAAUUUAGAUACCAGUAUAACCAGUGAUCAAAUUAAACCAUGUGCCAAAGAUGACUCCAUUCUAUUCAAACGCUGUGAAACCAUUCAUGUUGCUAUUGUAUGUGCUGGCUAUGAUGCCACAAGAGCAGUCUCAACGCUUAUCAAAUCCUUGCUUUUUUAUCGCAAGAAUCCUAUUCAUCUUCAUUUUGUAGCUGACAGUAUAGCCCAUAAGAUUCUAAACACAUUGUUUCAUUCAUGGGAUAUUCCUCAUGUUAACUUCAGUUUCUAUUCUGCUGAUAACUUGACUAGUGAUGUGGCUUGGAUCCCAAACAAACAUUAUUCUGGUGUUUAUGGGCUCUUAAAGCUUACACUGCCAAAAGCACUGCCACAGUCAGUAGAAAAAGUUAUAGUUUUUGACUGUGAUGUCACCUUCUCAGCUGAUGUUGCAGAUCUCUGGUCAGUUUUUUCAUUGUUUUCAGCCAAUCAGGCAAUUGGACUAGUAGAGAAUCAGAGUGAUUGGUACUUGGGGAAAUUGUGGAAGAAUUAUGAGCCGUGGCCAGCAUUAGGCAGAGGGUUCAAUACUGGUGUCAUAGCAAUGGACCUGAAGAAAUUACGUUCGUUGAACUGGAGUCAGCUUUGGCUGCUGACAGCUGAAAAGGAUCUAGUCAGCCACUAUUUCACAUCACUUGCUGAUCAGGAUGUUUUCAAUGCUGUACUUUUCCAAGAGCCUUACCUCGUCUAUCGCCUGCCUUGCCAGUACAAUGUCCAGUUAUCCGAUAACACACGAUCAGAAUCGUGUUACAGUGAAGUCGCCGAUUUGAAGGUUAUUCACUGGAAUUCUCCAAGGAAGUUAAAAGUCAAGAACAAGCACAGUGACUUUUUCCGUAAUUUGUACUACACAUUUGUGGGCUUUGAUGGAAAUUUCCUACGGAGGCAGCUUUUCCAUUGCAAUGAUUCUGGUAUGAGUCAGUCACCCAUUGACGAUCUUCCGGUGGAAGACGAUGCCUGCUAUGAACUGCACAAAGCUCGUGAUGCCAAGUACCGAACGCAUCUAUUCUACUUGACCUACGACGCCGGAAAGAUAGACGAACAUGACAUCACUUGGGUGGCUCAGCUGUCUCUCGAUAGGUUGCAAAUGAUUGAACCCCUUUGCCGCUUGUGGGAAGGGCCCAUAAGUCUUGCCCUCUAUUUGUCUGAUAUGGAAGCCGAUCAGUUCCAUUCGUUUGUUAUGGACUCGCAUUUCCUAAGUUCCAGGACCAACAUUGGCUACCACGUUGUUUACAAACAAGGAAGUUUGUAUCCCAUCAACUUGCUGAGGAAUGUGGCUCUAGAACAAGUCAGCACUCCAUUCGUCUUUCUCAGCGAUAUUGAUUUCCUGCCGAUGCCGAAUCUCUAUUCCACAUUGAAGAAAGCUGUUCAAUCGCUCAAACUGGCAAAUGAAAAUAAGCUUUUGAAAGUCAACGGUACCAAACAAAAGUGCCCCGUUCUAAAGCUGAGGUAAUUGCCGCUCUGGACAUGGGCGACCUGUUGACCUUUCGUUACCACGACUGGGCCUUAGGACACGCUGCCACCAACUUUCCCAUGUGGAGGACGGCCACUAUUCCUUACAAAAUUAAAUGGGAGCCGAAUUUUGAACCGUACAUUGUGGUCAGACGGGACGUGACACGCUACGACCCUCGCUUCCUAGGAUUCGGAUGGAAUAAAGUCUCGCAUUCGAUGGAGUUGCACGCCCAGCGCUACGAAUUUCAAGUUUU
rnacentral:misc_RNA from 1 species